GGCUGUCACCUCUCCGGCUUUGCAUUGGUGUCCCUCUGAAAGCCGGUCCCAGGACGAGACGGUUUGGGUAAUUACCAGACUGUGACGGUACACCAGGCACUUUCAGUCCCUCCUCCCCUACUUGUUUGAUCUCUGUGUUUUUAGGAAAACCGUUAAGCCUUCCUUCGUGAAGCGGUGCCUGUUGACUUUGAGAAUAUUGUAGAAGAAUAGCAAGAAUGUUUACCUACAAGAACCACCAGCCUUUCGUGGUCAAUGGACUAGAACGAUAACUUGAAUACUGUUUACCACAAUCUCUGCUUGAGAAUGGUUGUAAUUCUUAGAAUUUAUCUAGGAAUAGCGAACAUUUUGCAAUAUGCUUAUUGUUGGAGAAAAAGAAGUAGAGUUGUUUGGUUUUGUGUUGCUGUUUUUUUGUUUUGUUUUAAGAUAAACAGCAUGUCCCUAGCAGAGGCCCUAGUUUGGUAAACCAUAUAUAAGACAUUGGAACUACAAAAAAAAAAAAAAAAAUGCUAGCACUAAGAAAAGGUGGGCUUACAUUACAACUAGUUGGUUUUGUAGGAAUUACAAAUUUACCACUGAGCCAAACCUACCUAGUGUUCUACCCACAAUGAAGUCCCUGCAUAGAAUUAUUCGAACCUUAUCUGCUUUGAGAUAUACUUCCCAGCUUGAUGAUGUCAAAACUUUUAUAAGUCUCAAAGGGCUGAUCAGCUUGAAAAAUAUGACUAUUCCUCCUCUGACUCUCAUAAGCUCAUAUUUAUAGACUAAAGGUUAGUUAAGUGUAUGAAGAAAAUUAAAGGCCAGAAUGUAAAGAAUAGGGCAUACUCCUGGGUAAAAGGUACUUUAUCUUUCUAAUUAAAUAUUACAAAAAUAAUUUCUGACUAAGAAACCAAAGCAUUAAAUAAAAAGUACAAUAUGAUAUUUGUUAAACUUGAAGUUUAUAAAAAUUCCAGUUUUUUUUUUUUCUUGGUUUUUCGAGGCAGUGUUUCUCUGUGUAGCUGUAUAGCCCUGGCUGUCCUGGAACUCACUAUGUAGACCAGGCUGGCUUCAGACUCAGAAAUUCGCCUGCCUCUGCCUCCCAAGUGAUGGGAGGCACCCAGCUCCCAGUCUUCUUUAUAGUUAAUUUUAGCAACAACUCUUACAGAAAGCUUAUAUUAGCAUCACUCAGUGUUCUGUGGAAAUCAGAGAAAAUAUAUUUUAAUAUAUUCUCUAGGCAAAUUGAUGAACUGGGUUUAAGAUCCACUGUCCAGUGCUAGAGAUGUAGCUCAUUUGGUAGAGUAAUUGUCUAGCAUGUACAAGCCUUAAGUUCAGUCCUCUGCACCCCAGAUAAGCCAUGUACAAUGGCACACAUCUGUAAGCCCAGCACUUAGGAAGAAUCAGGAAGGUCAGAAAUACUAUAUCAUCCUUAGCUCCAGCCAGUUUGAGACCAUGCAAGGAUAUGUGACACUUUAUCUCAAAAAUAGAACCUAUGGACUGUAAAAGAGCCUUAAAAUCUGAAUGAUGUGGCCUGGAGAGAUGGCUCAGUGGUGGAGGGCACUGACUGCUCUUCCAGAGGACCCGGGGAAUCCAAGUACCCACAUGGCAACUUGCAACUGUAUGUAACCCCAAGAUCUGACACCUUCACACAGACAUGGAUGCAGGCAAAAACCAAUGCAUAAAAAUGGAAAUAAACUAUUUUUAAAAUUUUGAUAGACUUCAACAGCUUGUGAUUCCCUCCCUGGGAUAUGACUAUGAAGAUAUUUUGGAACUUUUUAAAUAUCCAGUUCCUUUAGUAAAAAACUAGGGACACUCUUAUCUAUUAUUUGGAUUGUCAUAAUUAUUUUGAGGAAAAGAAUACCUCUCAUAGUUCAUAAUUACAAAACAUUCUAAAAUGUCAUAGUAAUUAUUAGUGAGGAUUACAUUUGAACUACAGUCCUGUUCUCUUCCAGUACAGAAUAUUCUUUGUUUUUAAGAUUCUGUUCCUUUUGACCAGGCAUGGUAGCACAGGCCUUUAAUCCCAACAUUCAAAGGAAGAGACAGGCAGAUCGCUGAGAGUCUAAAGCCAGCAUGGUCUACAGAGCAAGUUUCAGAACAGCCAAGGGCUGUUUCAGAGAAACCCUGUC
rnacentral:lncRNA from 1 species